CCACACGCACACAGAUAGGGGCAUACCAUACAUCUUGAACAACGCAAGCGCCGAGAUAACCCACGCACGCACACGUUUUUCCUUUUGAACGGGCUUGCGCGCGUGUGUGGCACCUCCCCCUCUCCGUCAUCCUGCUCUCUUUGUCAUUAUGCUGUUCUGUGGCUUCCUCCAACGAUUACCGCCUGGCUCUUUACCCCCCUGUUCUCUCUCUCGGUGCUUGCGAGUGCGUGUGCGUGCGCCUCUUGCCCCCCCCUCACUUCGCACGCACACCCCCUCUCUCCCGCACCUCUCCUGCUCGCUGCAUUACCUUGCCUGUGCAGUCGGCUGCCCGUUUGCAACCGCUUCUCGAGCGCGGUGGCCGACUACGGUGUGCUUGCCUCGCUCCUCCCUCUCGUUUUCUCUCUCGCUCAUCCAUCCACUCGCUUCGCCAAGCGACAUGCUGCUGAGCAAGCAGCCCGGUGACACCGGCAUCUACGCCACCGCCACGUCGAGCCAGGUGCGGCUCUACUAUGUUCUCGACCGUGUCUUCCCGCUCACCUCUAGCGGCGCGGUGGCAGCGGAAGGGUCUGGUGUGCUGGGCAACGCCGUAUAUGACGGUUUCGAUGGCAUCGGCGCCUCCGCAACUACCCGGUCUCUCAAGCCCGUACCGCCAGAUUUAAUGCCGUACUUUGCUGGUGCACCGGCAUGCGUGCCUCGCGAAUACCUGCGCAUGCUGUGCCGCCUCUCCGCUGUUAGCAGAGGCACCGGUUCUGUGGCAGCUGCGACGACUAGCGGCAUAGAUGUGCGGGCGGGAGGGUAUGACGCUUAUGGGCUGCCCGCUCCGCUCGCGACGUCAGCAGCACGCGUGCGCUUUCCACCACCCCCUCGCACCGGCGUGGGGUACGCGUCGGCGACUUGUGCGGCCUCUGACGACUGGCUGCAAAAAGAGCAACAGAGGCAGGACGUCAGCUUCGCGUACCACUGGGGCGCCCCGCUUGUCCCUUUUCAUGCAGUCCCCUGUGGCGGCGGUGUCGGCGCUGGAGAGGGGCGACUCUUGAGCUCACAUGGUGGAGCGAACGCGUCGCCGCAGGAGUGGGCGACGCCAACGCUAGCCGCCGCCGGGGCCACCUCGACCUUUGCAGAGGAGUACGGCCCGGGGCAGUCGUCAAGUCGCGUGAGCGGGAACAGCGCGGCGGGGUAUAGUGGAUACUACACCGGCAGCCCGCAAACACUGGCCGGGCGCGCUGGUGGCGGCGGCGGCGGUGGUGGUGCUCGCCCCAGCAGUACCGCCUCGGCCGCUGCCGUGUCCACUGCACCCACUGCCCUCUCUCUCAGCUGCGCCACAGAUUGCGUGCUGUUCUUUGUGGCGAAUGCAGAGGGUCUCAGCUGGAUUGGCCGCAGCGAUGCCACGACACUGUCCCCUCUGCGGGUGUCCACGUCGCUGCCGAUGCGACGGCGCGGCACCGGCGGAUACGGCGGGCCAUCCGGUGGUGGUGGCGGUGCCACGGUAGUGUCAUCGGCGCCACACCCACCGCGGCCGUUUUCCGAAGCCUUUGGCGCACCGGUGAACACUACCUUCCCUGCGAACAGCUUUGCCAGUAGUGAGCAGACCGCCACACCACCGAACAUGGCAGGGGACCUCUCACUCCAGAACGCCCCGCUAAUCGUGUCAGAUGAGGACGGAGGCGAAGGCGGCGAUGAAGAUAGAGCAGGCGAGGCGGUGGCUGCUGGCACCGGAGGCGGUGGUGUGGCAGACAGCCGCCGCCGCCCUAGCUUAGCAGGCGCUGCCAGUCCAUUCUUCACCGACGGACUUGACGUGUACGGAGGGGUGGUGCCGACGACUAUGGUGGGGCUCCCGAUGCGUAGAGCAGUAUCUCGUCAGGACCGCGUUGUCACCGCGUCCGGAUGGGAUCCGCGCAACUCGGCCAUACUCGCCCUGGGCCGGCAGAGCGGCGCGGUGCAGCUGCUGGAUGUCGAGUACGUGGUGGGCUCGGUGGAGGGCAGGUGCUGCAGUUCCACUACCACGACCCGUAGCACGAGUAACGACGACACCAACGAGCUGUUUUUUGUGCCCCCAGUGGGCGGCGUCGCUGCAGGGGCCAGCGCGCUCGGCGGCAGCAGUGUCGGUGGGACUCGUCUGGUGCCAUACGCGGGCGCAGACCACCUCAGCUACAGUGUGGUUCAGCAAAAGCAAAUGCUGGGCCCCGUGACGGCGCUGGAUUGGAUGCCACAGUCCCACCUGACUGUUGUGGCCGCGCGGCGUCUCGAUGGGCUCGGCUUCUACGCGGAGCUGCUCGAUCUGCGCGCCUCUCACGACGGCGUCACGUACCUCGGCGCGCCGCCCGAGGUGUUCGGCGUCCCUGUCUGCGCGCGCACUACAGACAACGCUGCCCCAUGUGUCCUUUGCAGUGCCGAGCAGGUGGCGUGCCACCCUUCGCAGCGGUACGUCGCCACGGUGGGUGCGUCGCAAAUGCGGGACAUUGUGCAGCUCUGGGAUGUGCGCAUGGCGACGCGGCCGGUUUCGUGUCAGGUGUACACACGCGCGGGAUAUACUUCCCUGUGCUGGAGUGCGGCAGAGGCGGGGGUGGUGCUUGGCACGACGCGCGACGGCGGUCUGCGCGCGCAUGCCUUCAAGGAGCUUGCACCAUCGCGCGCUGCUCCAGGCGGCCCUGUCGUCGUGACGUCGCACCACUACGGCAGCGCAGCUAAUCCUCACCUGAGCCCGAGCGGCUUUGGCUCCGGUGGUGCCGGGGGGGGCUUCGGGACAGGCCGCAGUCGCCGACGUCGCGCCCCAAGCGGAGGCCUCCCGCACCAUCGCUCGCCGAGCGGCGGAGAACUGGAUGCGGAUGGUUGGGGCGUGAGUACCAGCAACCCUGUGAACAGUGGCUGCAGUGGGACGGAGGCCGAGGCCGAGGAGGACUUCACGGACGGUUCCUGUAGCAUUCGCUCCGGCUUCUCCGGCGACGGCACCGGCACAGCCGUGCCCUCCAUCACUGACGGAAGCAACGCUUUGGUGCACGUCAGCGUGAAGGCGCAGUCCGCGCUUAAGUGCCGGCUGCCGUCUCGCGUGCCCGCCGCUGCGGUGGGGUGGGUGUGCCACCCGCUCUCGGAGCCGAUGAAGACGAUCACCGCCGGCAGCAUCCCGGGCCUCCCGUCGGUGCACCGCCGCACCAGCAGCGGAAUGUCCGCUGACGGACCUCACCACUCUGAGCGCUUGCACACCUCUCACGGUGCCACUAGCGGCCUUCGUCCCAAAGACGACUGUGAUGGCGAAGUGGACGACAACGCGGUGGCGCGUGGCUGCCGAACAGACUUGCCACAGCUGCUGCUGCUCAAUGCCAAGAAUGGGGAGCUAUAUACGCAGGUGUACAACCCAGGUGGCAGCACAGUCACCAGCCUCAACAGCAGCACGGCUCUGGUCGGCGCCGGCCCCAACGCUUUCCUCACACACGCCUCCACGGCGUACAAUACAGCGAGUUAUGUUUAUGAGGAGGCUGUGCUUGAACGGCUGGAGUGUCAAGCCGCCGCCGCCGCUGCUGCUGCUGCCGCCACCGCCGCUCCCAGCGCAGCUCCUGGUAUGGUGGUGCCCUCUUGCCCCACCCCCAUCUCCUCCGGACCCGCAUCCAAAGCAGUAAUGGGUUUGCUAUACGGGCGCGCAGGUGUCGCCGGCGCGGCAACCGUUACCUCUACAAACAAGCCGCACGUAUCAGGCGACAGCACCGUUGAUGGAGCUCAGCUGUCAAGUACUGGCAGCUCUGCCAGUGGCGGCGGCAGGGCUUGUGCUGUUGCUGCUGCUGCUGCUGCUGCUGCUGCAACCCGUGGUGGUGGCGGCGCUGCGACGGCGGCGUCCAGACUAAAAGGCCGACCUGUCGAUUUGAUCGGUCUGGGCCUCUUGGACGAGGUGGAAGAUGAGGACGACGAUGAAGAGGGUGAACGGGACACGCUGCGGGCCAGCGCUGCCGCUGCCGCCACCGGUGACUACGAGCACUGCGCUCUCGCCGGCGCCAACACGAACGGGCAGCAGUCCGAUUUCGGCGCUGCUUCCUCUACAGCUCAUGGCCUGCCGAGCAUGAGGGCUGCGGGGACGGCCGGAGUGGGUGGCAACGAUGACUCGGCAAGCGCAGGCAGCCCGCGCGCCGGACUUACGAGGGAAGCUGCGUCUUCUUUGGUGGGCACUGGCGGUGCAGCUGUUCCUAAAGCUCCUAAAGGUGUGCAUCGCAGCGGCAUCAGCAGCGCUCUCCAACAGGAGGAGGGGCUACUUGGCCGUCGAACUUCCUUGCGCGAACCUGUCGCUGCGUCGCCGCACAGCCGGCCCACCUCUGCAGAACCGAUGCAGCAGCCAUACACAGUCACCACAUCCGCAGGUGGCCGAGGUGCCUCUCAGUCCGCAACAGCAGCGGCAGCAAUGUCCAUUCCACAGGAAAUGAGCUUCUGCGAGUUCCACCGCCUCGAUCGUACGCGGCAUCUGUGGAGACGGCUGCGCAGCGGCUUCUCAUAUGACCCGGUGCGCAACUUGACCGUGCUCCUGCGCGAAGGCCUGGAUCGGGAGGGGUACGCCACCUUCCUCUACGGCUGCUGUGCUGCACAGCUGCUAUUCCCCACUGCUGUGAUGGUGGCGCCAAAGUCGCGCAGCACCGAACCGGGGACGGGACCGGCAGCGUCGGCCCCCUCUCUAGCUGUGGGCCUGAAGCGAGCCGUGCCAGGGCUGCUGGAGCUGCUGGUGUCGGAGCGUGAGUUGCGGCAGCAACUGGGGCUGAACGACACCCGGCUCUCCUCGCAGUUUCCUCUCAGUCAACACCACCACCUGCUCGCUUCGGCCAACGCAACCGCAUCUGUCGCAGCCGCCAUGACGGCGGGUUUUGCGCCUCCGGGCGGCUACGCCAUCGUCGGCCCCAUAGGGGCACUCGGCCUGCAGGCCCCUCUGCUGGCGGGCUUGCCGAGCGCCAUGGAGCGGCACAAGGGGCCGCCGGGGUUUUCACUGCACCCGUUCAGCGCCGCCGCGGCAGGCAUUCGUGCGGGUCGCCUGACACCGCCAGCGCACCUUACCGGGCCCGCGAUCAACGCUGGCGCGAGCCGCACAGCUUCAUCAGUUCUCCGGGGUGGCGCAGGCUCCUCUGGGGCGGCCGGUGAUGCUGCAAGGGACAGCGCGGCAUACCUUCCGACGUACCCCGUGGCGAUUGGGAUGUUGCGGCAGCUCGUGCUGCAGUCCAUGGGCUGGACGAUGCCACCUGCCGUGUGCCUCGUUGACUCACCAGCUGAGCACACCACCGAGCGCGAGGGGACGAGUGCCAGCGCUGCCGCAGAGAGAGCCGGUGGAGUGCAGGCGACUCGGUCGCCUCCUCCAGGCGGCGACCACCGCCCCCAGCACCCGGCGGAGAGAUUUUUCGUGCAGGGAGACGGCAUAGGCCAACGCAGCCUGCAGGAAGCGCUGGAGCGGCGCGUAGCCGUGCUCGUGUUGCUGGAUCGUCUCGAGGAAGCUGCUGAGUUGCUGGCGCUGUACGGCACUCACAAUGUGCAGUACCCCAGUAUCGCCUUGACCCUGUCUGCAGCGCGCGGCCGGCAGACGACUGUGAUGAGCUUGGCAGCAGACGACUGUCCUGGGGUGACCUUCUGGAUUCAUUUGAUGCUCGCAUACAUGGAGCUUGUGAUGCAUCAGCAGUCGUGCGGAGCGGCGGCAGCAGGGGAUAGGACGCUGCAGGCGGAUGCUGGGAGCUCGAGAAGCGGCAGCGACGACGCCACAUCGAGCACGACCAAAAGCGUCGCUGCGACGACGGAGCCGGUCAGCCGCUUCGAUGACCUCUUUACGUUACCGCAUCAGAAGGCGGUGGUGCUGCACCUGCUGGAGAGGUAUCCGCGCCUGAGCCUCUCUGACAAAGUGGCCCUUGCCACGGCGCUGCUCUUGCCCUCGCGGUACCACAGCGGCCAUGUCGCCAACUUGAUUGAGGUGUUGCAGACUUUGGUGCAGCAGCAGUACCGUGAUUACUCUAGCACCGCUACCGCCAGCACAGCAGCUGAACAGGCGGUCGCCGACAGCACGUGCGGGUCGCCGUCCUCAACGUCGUCGCCACUCGGGAUCCGCGCGCGGCAGCAGCGACGCGUGGAUUCGAAGCGUGCAUCGUUGUCCGGUCUACCUCGAUCGCCCGCUCAGAGUUCUUCCGUAGACGCUGCUGUGUCGCCGGCGGCUCUCGGCAGCCGCUUCCCAAGCCCGCCUGGCGCCCCUCUCGCGCACGGCAGCGUCAAUUCCCACUACAGCGAUCCUAGUGACACCUUCGUGCUGGCUGCCGCCGCAUCUGCCGCCUCUGCGGAUCGCUUCGCCCCCAUCUACCGGUGCUCGCUGCUGCUCGUGACAGUCGUGGAAGGCGUUAGCACCGACUGCGGCGCACUUCAGCGCUACGUGGACGAGAGCGGCGACGUGCAAACGGCCUUGAGCUACGCAGCGGCGUUCAGCAAUGUGCUCUCGCCCACGGUCCGCACGUGGCGUGACGCGUACCGGCGUUUGCUUAACGACCAGGGGCUCGCCAUGUGGCGUAGUCUUCACGAUCUGCAUCUCGUGAAACUUCUCAAAGCACGUGAAGAGGCGGACAAGCACGUGGGCGGCAGCGCCAUCUCCGGCAGCAGCAACUCGCGUAGCGCCGGCGCCGUUGGCGGUGUGGCGGGCAUCCCAGGAGGCUCCGUCAUUGGCGGAGGCGGGGGCUCUUCCCCGGGCAUGGUGGGCGCAGGCACCACACGCGGCGGCGGUGUUGUUGAAGCCACCAUCGGCGCCCCGCCGGGGAGCCCCGCGGGGACUCUCUCGGGUGCUGGCGUGCCUCGACCAAAUGGCUUCCCUGGCGCGCUGGGGGCACUUGGGAGUGACCUCGGUGCAGGGCCUGGUGCCGCCUCCGCUGCGGCGAUGAUGUCGACCCAAACAGCCAUGAUGAUGGAGCGCACGCUGAACCGAUUUGCGCAGACCACCGCAACCGCGACAACCGACUGCGACCGCUCGUUGCGCGAGGCAGCCGCGACUGCUGGUGGGGCCAGUCCAGGAGCUAACGAAGCGCUCCACCGAGCGGUGGAGCUGCGGUGCAACUGCGGUCAGGCGAUGCACGCGACGGCGCCGAGCAAGAGCUCCAUCUCGUCCAUGACCUCGACGAACAUGACCCGCAAACAGCUCAUUCCGUGCGGCAACCCAGAGUGCCGACAAUGGCAGUCGCCGAUGUGCACCGUGUGCGGUGAGCGUAUGGAGCACCGCGCGACGGAGCUGCCGCCGGAGCGCUUCUUCGCAUGGUGCAGCGUGUGUCUGCACGGGGGCCACUGGUGCCACCUGCGGGAGUGGUUCAGCAAGCACACUAAAUGCCCCGUCGAGAACUGCCCCUGCCACUGCUGCGAUAACGUCCAUCUCUCGUAGCACAGGCGGCCGCUGAUCGUCUUGCCUCUCUCUCGCUGCUCUCGUCCUGUUGACGUCCCCUUCCGUCUAAAAGCCCCCCUCUCCCCCUGUGUGUAAGAGCGCGUGUGCGCAUGCGUGCUUGUGCUUCGAACCGUCUCCGACCGCCCCUCCGCCUCACUACCCCAUCCCCCUUCAUCAUCACGGCGACUUUCCGUACAAUUAUCGACGUCAAGAACGAAAAUGGUAGCCGAUGAAAGCGGUGAGAGGCAGUCAACGCGCUGUGGCUGCAGGUGCUCUGGUAGUGUGCAACACAG
rnacentral:misc_RNA from 1 species